rnacentral:tRNA from 1 species
AGCGGGGUGGAGCAGUCCGGCAGCUCGCGUGGCUCAUAACCACGAGGUCACAGGUUCGAAUCCUGUCCCCGCAACAA